rnacentral:rRNA from 1 species
CUACGGAGGGGGCAAGCGUUGUUCGGAAUUACUGGGCGUAAAGCGCGCGUAGGCGGGCUGGUUAGUUGGGGGUGAAAUCCCAGGGCUUAACCCUGGAACUGCCUCCAAUACUGCCAGUCUAGAGUUCGAGAGAGGUGAGUGGAAUUCCUAGUGUAGAGGUGAAAUUCGUAGAUAUUAGGAAGAACACCAGUGGCGAAGGCGGCUCACUGGCUCGAUACUGACGCUGAGGUGCGAAAGCGUGGGGAGCAAACAGGAUUAGAUACCCUAGUAGUCC